rnacentral:rRNA from 1 species
CCCUUAGAUGUUCUGGGCCGCACGCGCGCUACACUGAUGCAUUCAACGAGUUUUGUUUGUUCCUUGGCCGAGAGGCCUGGGCAAUCUUUUGAACUUGCAUCGUGAUAGGGAUAGAUUAUUGCAAUUAUUGAUCUUGAACGAGGAAUUCCUAGUAAACGCAGAUCAUCAAUCUGCAUUGAUUACGUCCCUGCCCUUUGUACACACCGCCCGUCGCACCUACCGAUUGAAUGGUCCGGUGAAGCCUCGGGAUUGUGGUUGGUUUCCUUUAUUGGAGAUUGAUUGCGAGAACUUGUCUAAACCUUAUCAUUUAGAGGAAGGUGAAGUCGUAACA